UACGUAGGGGGCUAGCGUUGUCCGGAAUCAUUGGGCGUAAAGAGCGUGUAGGCGGUCCGGCAAGUCCGCUGUGAAAGUCGGGGGCUCAACCCUCGAAUGCCGGUGGAUACUGUCGGGCUAGAGUGCGGAAGAGGCGAGUGGAAUUCCUGGUGUAGCGGUGAAAUGCGCAGAUAUCAGGAGGAACACCGAUUGCGAAGGCAGCUCGCUGGGACGUCACUGACGCUGAGACGCGAAAGCGUGGGGAGCAAACAGG
rnacentral:rRNA from 1 species